rnacentral:rRNA from 1 species
AACGAACGCUGGCGGCAGGCCUAACACAUGCAAGUCGAGCGGACCUUUCGUAGUCAGCGGCGGUCGGGGGAGUCACGCGGGGGAAUAUGCCCUUCUCUACGGAAUUGUCCUGGGUAACGGGGGUAAUACUGUAUACGCCCUUUGGGGGAGAGGUUUAUCGGGGAAGGAUUAGCCCGCGUUGGAUUAGGUAGUUGGUGGGGUAAUGGCCUACCAAGCCGUCGAUCCAUAGCUGGUUUGAGAGACAGAUCAGCCACACUUAGACUGGGAAACAGCCGAGACUCUUAGGGGAGGCGGCAGAGGCGGAUCCUGGACAAUGGCGUCAACCCUGAUGGAGCCAUGCCGGGAGAGUCAUGUAGUCGUUAGAGAUGUAAAGCUCUUUCAGCUGGGAAGAUAAUGACGGUACCAGCAGAAGAAGCCCCGGCUAACUCCGUG